AUUGAACGCUGGCGGCAAGACUAACACAUGCAAGUCGAACGAGUGGCGGACGGGUGAGUAAUGUCUGGGAAACUGCCUGAUGGCGGGGGAUAACUCCUGGAAACGGUAGCUAAUACCGCAUACCAUCGGAUGUGCCCAGAUGGGAUUAGCUAGUAGGUGGGGUAAAGGCACACCGAGGCGACGAUCCCUAGCUGGUCUGAGAGGAAGACCAGCCACACUGGAACUGAGACACGGUCCCGACUCCUACGUGAGGCAGCAGUGGGGAAUAUUGCACAAUGGGCGCAAGCCUGAUGCAGCCAUGCCGCGUGUAUGAAGAAGGCCUUCGGGUUGUAAAGUACUUUCAGCGGGGAGGCGUUACCCGCAGAAGAAGCACCGGCUAACUCCGUGCCAGCCGCCGCGGUAAUUC
rnacentral:rRNA from 1 species